GAAUGACCAGGAUUUCUAGGAAUAGUCUGGAGGUAUUUGGGUGUUUUUCCAAGAGAAAAGUUGUCCAGAAGGUUGGUGGGAAUUGUGUCAGUUGGGUUUAGGAAUGACCAGGAUUUCUAGGAAUAGUUUGAGGAGAUUUUGGUGCUUUUUCCAAGAGACAAGAUGUCCAGAAGGUGGGUGGGAAUUGUAUAAUUUGGGUUUAGGAAUGACCAGGAUUUCUAGGAACAGUUUGAUGGGAAUUGUAUCAUUUGGGUUUAGGAAUGACCAGGAUUUCUAGGAAUAGUUUGAUGGGAAUUGUAUCAUUUGGGUUUAGGAAUGACCAGGAUUU